rnacentral:rRNA from 1 species
GACGAACGCUGGCGGCGUGCUUAACACAUGCAAGUCGAACGAUGAAGCCGGAGCUUGCUCUGGUGAAUUAGUGGCGAACGGGUGAGUAACACGUGAGUAACCUGCCCUUGACUCUGGGAUAACUGCGGGAAACUGUAGCUAAUACCGGAUACGACCCUCGGAGGCAUCUCCUGGGGGUGGAAAGAAUUUCGGUCAAGGAUGGACUGGCGGGCUAGCAGCUAGUUGGUGAGGUAAAGGCUCACGAAGGCGACGACGGGUAGCCGACCUGAGAGGUGGACAGGCGACACAGGGACUGGGAGACGGGCCAGACUGCUACGGGAGGCAGCAGUGGGGAAUAUUGCACAAUGGGCGCAAGCCUGAGGCAGCAGCGCCGCGUGAGGGAUGACGGCCUUCGGGUUGUAAACCUCGUUUAGUAGGGAAGAAGCGAAAGUGACGGUACCUGCAGAAAAAGCACCGGCUAACUACGUGCCAGCCGCCGCGGUAA